UACGUAGGUGCGAGCGUUGUCCGGAAUUAUUGGGCGUAAAGGGCUCGUAGGCGGUCUGUUGCGUCAGGAGUCGAAAACUCGGGGCUUGAACCCCGAGCCUGCUUCUGAUACGGGCAGACUAGGAGGGUAUGCAGGGGGAGAACGGAAUUCCUGGUGUAGCGGUGAAAUGCGCAGAUAUCAGGAGGAACACCGGUGGCGAAGGCGGUCUCUGGGCAUUACCUGACGCUGAGGAGCGAAAGUGUGGGGAGCGAACAGG
rnacentral:rRNA from 1 species